rnacentral:rRNA from 1 species
UUGUGUUAGAGGUCUUAACCUUAAUUGGUAGCAUGGCGGUUGCUGUCCCAGUCAGAGGCACAUGCUCAUAAACGAAACUGCACGAAUAUCUUACUUUCUCUUGCAUAGCAAGCCUGAAGCUUGUUAAAUAAUUUUGUACAUCGCUGUUUAAAGGUUAAGUGUUCAAGCUAUUAACCUUUUCCUUCAUGUUUGAGCUUAGGUUAACUGAGUCAGAUUUAAAGGAAAAUAACAAGUCAAGACACAGAGGAUGGGAAAGUUAAAGUGUGUGUCAAUGCUCAUGCGUUUCCACUUCGCUCUUUUCUGAAAUAAGAAGUAGAGGGAAAAGAAUCUGACAGUAAGGGUGUGUUCAACAAACCACUCUGAACAGGUAAUCAGUAGUGCACACACC